rnacentral:rRNA from 1 species
CAAUAGCGUAUAUUAAAGUUGUUGCAGUUAAAAAGCUCGUAGUUGGAUUUGUGGUGUACUUCGGCGGCCCGCCACUAUGUGAUGGAGCUUGCUGAAGUCGCCAUCCUUGGGUGGAUCCUGUGUGGCAUUAAGUUGUCGUGCAGGGGAUGCCCAUCGUUUACUGUGAAAAAAUUAGAGUGUUCAAAGCAGGCUUAUGCCGUUGAAUAUAUUAGCAUGGAAUAAUAAGAUAGGACCUUGGUACUAUUUUGUUGGUUUGCGCACCAAGGUAAUGAUUAAUAGGGACAGUUGGGGGUAUUCGUAUUUCAUUGUCAGAGGUGAAAUUCUUGGAUUUUUGAAAGACGAACUACUGCGAAAGCAUUUACCAAGGAUGUUUUCAUUAA